rnacentral:misc_RNA from 1 species
CCUUCUUUAAUUCUUUAAAACCAUGAAUCAAGUUUGAGUAAGUAGUCUUUGGAGCAACCCUAUUCAUUUUAUUAAGUUCUACGAGUAUCAAGUAACCAUCUUCUGGCCUCCGAGCCCGGCAUAGAGCUGAUAUGAACUUACUGUACAGGGAAUCACUUGGAAUGAAAUUCCGCUCUAGAGCAGCAAGAACCAGCUGUAUCAUUAUAUCAAGCU